rnacentral:rRNA from 1 species
GCGACCCCAGGUCAGGCGGGAACACCCGCUGAGUUUAAGCAUAUCAAUAAGCGGAGGAAAAGAAACUUACCAGGAUUC